rnacentral:rRNA from 2 species
CGGGCGCACGGCGGAUGCCUUGGCGCAGGGAGCCGACGAAGGGCGCGGCAAGCCGCGAUAGUCCCCGGGGAGGCGCACACGGCCUUCGAUCCGGGGGUACCCGAAUGGGGGAACCCGACGGCAGCGGUGCCGUCAUCCCCGCCCUGAAUCCAUAGGGGCGGGGAGGGGGACCGGGGGAACUGAAACAUCUAAGUACCCCGAGGAGGAGAAAUCAAUCACGAGAUGCCCCGAGUAGCGGCGAGCGAAAGGGGCCGAUGGCCAAACCGGCGAGCGCAUGCGCGCGGCAGCGUUCGCGCCGCCGGGGUUGUAGGGCGCCGCGCCCCGGGGCUGCCGCCCCGGGCGCGCGCGAGGCAGGGUAGCGGAACGGCAUGGGAAGGCCGGCCGCAGCGGGUUAGAGCCCCGUACGCGUACCCUCGCCGAGCGCGCGGAGGCGUCCCUGAGUAGGCCCGGGCACGUGAAACCCGGGCCGAAGCCGGGUGGACCACCAUCCAAGCCUGAACACUACCCUGCGACCGAUAGCGAACGAGUACCGUGAGGGAAAGGUGAAAAGCACCCCGGGAGGGGAGUGAAACAGCACCUGAAACCGUGCGCCCACGAGCAGUCGGAGCACCUUCAUGGUGUGACGGCGUGCCUUUUGUAGAAUGAGCCAGCGAGUCAGACGCGCGCGGCGAGGUUAAGCUUGGAAGCGAGCCGCAGCGAAGGCGAGUCCGAACAGGGCGUCUAUAGUCGCGCGCGCUGGACGCGAAGCCGGGUGAGCUAUCCCUGGGCAGGCUGAAGCGGGGGUAAGACCCCGUGGAGGGCCGAACCGCAGUCCGUUGAAAAGGGCCCGGAUGACCUGGGGAUAGGGGUGAAAGGCCAAUCAAACCCGGAGAUAUCUCGUUCUCCCCGAAAUAGCUUUAGGGCUAGCGUCGGGGGUUCUCCCGCGGGGGUAGAGCACCGGACGGGUGAGGGGGCUUCGCCGCCUACCGAUCCCGACCGAACUCCGAAUCCCGCCGGACCACACCCCGGCAGUCAGAGCAUGUGGGCUAAGCUGUGUGCUCGAGAGGGAAACAGCCCGGACCGCCCGCUAAGGCCCCAAAUUCCGCGCCGAGUGGCAAAGGAUGUGCGUCCGCCCAGACAGCCAGGAGGUUGGCUUAGAAGCAGCCACCCCUUCAAAGAGUGCGUAACAGCUCACUGGCCGAGUGGACAUGCGCCGACAAUACACGGGGCUAAGCGCGGAGCCGAAGCGGCGGGUACCCCUUCGGGGGUACGGUAGGGGAGCGUCCCGCGCGGGGCGAAGCCGGAGGGCGACCGACGGUGGACCGCGCGGGAGCGAGGAUGCUGGCAUGAGUAGCGAGAGACUGGAGAGUAACCAGUCCGCCGUGAACCCGAGGUUUCCUGGGCGAGGCUAAUCCCCCCAGGGUCAGUCGGGGGCUAAGGCGAGGCCGGCAGGCGUAGCCGAAGCGCAGCAGGUGGACAUUCCUGCACCGCGCGCGAACCGCUAUGACCGACGCGGCGACGGAUGGGGGUGGCUCGGCCGGGUUCUGGACGUCCCGGUGAUGGGGUGAGGCCCGAGGCGGAGUGAAGUACCCGCCUCGUCAAGGGUUAGGCCCCGGACGAAGCGACUGAGCGAAGCGAGUGAGCCCGAGGUCCCUAGAAAAACCGCUAGGCAGGCGCGCGCGCGCCCGUACCGCAAACCGACACAGGUGGGUGGGUAGAACAUACCGAGGCGAUCGGGUCAACCGUGGUCAAGGAACUCGGCACAAUGGCCCCGUAACCUAGGGAGAAGGGGUGCCGCCGCGUACGUGAACCGCCUCGCGCGGGGAGCGGAGGGCGGCCGCAGUGAAGAGGCCCAAGCGACUGUUUACCAAAAACACAGGACUCUGCAGAAGCCGCAAGGCGACGUAUAGGGUCUGACGCCUGCCCGGUGCCGGAAGGUCACGCGGAGGGGUCAGCCGCAAGGCGAAGCUCCGAAGCCAAGCCCCGGUAAACGGCGGCCGUAACUAUAACGGUCCUAAGGUAGCGAAAUUCCUUGUCGGGUAAGUUCCGACCUGCACGAAAGGCGCAACGACUUGGGCGCUGUCUCGACCACGGACCCGGUGAAAUUGCACUGGUCGUGAAGAUGCGACCUACCCGCGGAAGGACGGAAAGACCCCGUGAACCUUCACUGCAGCUUUGCAUUGGCCGCUGCUCGGGAGCGUAGAGGAUAGGCGGGAGGCUUUGAAGCGGGGGCGCCAGCCCCCGUGGAGCCGGCCUUGGAAUACCGCCCCCUCCCGUGCGGCGUCCUAACCCCAGGCCGCGAUCCGGCUGGGGGACCGUGCGAGGCGGGCAGUUUGACUGGGGCGGUCGCCUCCUAAACGGUAACGGAGGCGCGCGAAGGUUGGCUCGGGGCGGUCGGCAACCGCCCUCAUAGAGUGCAAGAGCGCAAGCCAGCUUGACUGCGAGACCCACAAGUCGAGCAGGUGCGAAAGCAGGCUCUAGUGAUCCGGCGGCCCCACGUGGGAGGGCCGUCGCUCAACGGAUAAAAGGUACUCCGGGGAUAACAGGCUGAUCUUGCCCAAGAGUCCACAUCGACGGCAAGGUUUGGCACCUCGAUGUCGGCUCAUCGCAUCCUGGGGCUGGAGCAGGUCCCAAGGGUACGGCUGUUCGCCGUUUAAAGCGGUACGCGAGCUGGGUUCAGAACGUCGUGAGACAGUUCGGUCACUAUCCUCCGCGGGCGCAGGAGACUUGAUGGAGGCUGCCCCUAGUACGAGAGGACCGGGGUGGACGCACCUCCGGUGAACCGGUUGUCGACCAACGGCACGGCCGGGUAGCCGCGUGCGGCGCGGAUAACCGCUGAAGGCAUCUAAGCGGGAAGCCGUUCCAGAGAUGGGGUCU